rnacentral:rRNA from 1 species
UUAAUUGAAGAGUUUGAUCAUGGCUCAGAUUGAACGCUGGCGGCAGGCCUAACACAUGCAAGUCGAGCGGUAGCACAAGAGAGCUUGCUCUCUGGGUGACGAGCGGCGGACG